rnacentral:rRNA from 1 species
AGGAGAAGGAAGCUUGCUUCUUUCAAAUCUAGUGGCAAACGGGUGAGUAACACGUAAACAACCUGCCUUCAGGAUGGGGACAACAGACGGAAACGACUGCUAAUACCGAAUACGUUCCUUAGGUCGCAUGACUUUAGGAAGAAAGGGUGGCCUCUACUUGUAAGCUAUCACCUGAAGAGGGGUUUGCGUCUGAUUAGGUAGUUGGUGAGGUAACGGCCCACCAAGCCGACGAUCGGUAGCCGACCUGAGAGGGUGAUCGGCCACAUUGGGACUGAGACACGGCCCAAACUCC